rnacentral:rRNA from 1 species
GACGAACGCUGGCGGCGUGCUUAACACAUGCAAGUCGAACGGUAAGGCCCUUCGGGGUACACGAGUGGCGAACGGGUGAGUAACACGUGGGUGAUCUGCCCUGCACUUCGGGAUAAGCCUGGGAAACUGGGUCUAAUACCGGAUAGGACUCCGGACUGCAUGGUCUGGGGUGGAAAGCUUUUGCGGUGUGGGAUGGGCCCGCGGCCUAUCAGCUUGUUGGUGGGGUGAUGGCCUACCAAGGCGACGACGGGUAGCCGGCCUGAGAGGGUGACCGGCCGCACUGGGACUGAGAUACGGCCCAGACUCCUACGGGAGGCAGCAGUGGGGAAUAUUGCACAAUGGGCGCAAGCCUGAUGCAGCGACGCCGCAUGAGGGAUGACGGCCUUCGGGUUGUAAACCUCUUUCAGCAUCGACGAAGCGAAAGUGACGGUAGGUGCAGAAGAAGGACCGGCCAACUACGUGCCAGCAGCCGCCGCAG